CUUAACUCUGGGAUAAGCCUGGGAAAUCGGGUCUAAUACCGGAUAUGACUCCUCAUCGCAUGGUGGGGGGUGGAAAGCUUUAUUGUGGUUUUGGAUGGACUCGCGGCCUAUCAGCUUGUUGGUGAGGUAAUGGCUCACCAAGGCGACGACGGGUAGCCGGCCUGAGAGGGUGACCGGCCACACUGGGACUGAGACACGGCCCAGACUCCUACGGGAGGCAGCAGUGGGGAAUAUUGCACAAUGGGCGAAAGCCUGAUGCAGCGACGCCGCGUGAGGGAUGACGGCCUUCGGGUUGUAAACCUCUUUCAGUAGGGAAGAAGCGAAAGUGACGGUACCUGCAGAAGAAGCGCCGGCUAACUACGUGCCAGCAGCCGCGGUAAUACGUAGGGCGCAAGCGUUAUCCGGAAUUAUUGGGCGUAAAGAGCUCGUAGGCGGUUUGUCGCGUCUGCCGUGAAAGUCCGGGGCUCAACUCCGGAUCUGCGGUGGGUACGGGCAGACUAGAGUGAUGUAGGGGAGACUGGAAUUCCUGGUGUAGCGGUGAAAUGCGCAGAUAUCAGGAGGAACACCGAUGGCGAAGGCAGGUCUCUGGGCAUUAACUGACGCUGAGGAGCGAAAGCAUGGGGAGCGAACAGGAUUAGAUACCCUGGUAGUCCAUGCCGUAAACGUUGGG
rnacentral:rRNA from 1 species